rnacentral:rRNA from 1 species
GGGGGGGCAAGCGUUGUUCGGAAUUACUGGGCGUAAAGGGCUCGUAGGUGGCCAACUAAGUCAGACGUGAAAGCCCCAGGCUUAACCUGGGAACUGCGUCCGAUACUGGGAGGCUUGGAUUCGGGAGAGGGAUGUGGAAUUCCAGGUGUAGCGGUGAAAUGCGUAGAUAUCUGGAGGAACACCGGUGGCGAAGGCGGCAUCCUGGACCGAGAUCGACGCUGAGGCGCGAAAGCUAGGGGAGCAAACGGGAUUAGAUACCCCGGUAGUCCUAGCCCUAAACGAUGAGUGCUUGGUGUGGCGGGUAUCGAUCCCUGCCGUGCCGAAGCUAACGCAUUAAGCACUCCGCCUGGGGAGUACGGUCGCAAUGCUG